AAUCCGACUAAAAAACACAGCAUCAUCCCCCACAAACGUCCUCAGUUUCAGUUCCUCGGGAAAAACAAUAAAACGGAAGCUUGAAACUUGUCCUUCCUUAGCCAGCAAGAAAAAGCAGAAAACUCUCCCCCUCCAUCAAUGGUUCCUCCACCGUCGUCAAACCACCUAGCAAUCCAACAAUUCCUCUCCUCCGUCCUCUCUCAACGCGGCACUUCCGCUCUUCCUUACUCCGAAGACACCAAAUGGCUCAUCCGCCAACACCUUCUUUCACUCACCACUACUUCCCCUUCUCUCGAACCCAAAACCGCUACCUUCACUCACAACGAUGGUCGCACCGUCAAUCUUCUCCAGGCUGACGGCACCGUUCCGAUCACUUUCAUAUCUGUCACUUAUAACAUCCCGGUUAUCAUCUGGCUUAUCGAAUCUUACCCUCGCCACCCUCCUUGUGUUUACGUGAACCCCACACGCGAUAUGAUCAUCAAAAGAUCUCAUCCUUUUGUUAAUCCCUCGGGGCUCGUUUCCAUCCCUUAUUUGCAGAAUUGGAUCUACCCUAGUUCCAAUUUGGUUGAUUUGGCUCGCGAGCUGAGCUCGGUUUUUGGGAGGGAUCCUCCUCUGUUUUCCCAACGCCCUAAACCUAACCCUAAUCCCAAUUAUCAUCCAAAUCAAUCGAGUCUUGGGUCAGUGGGUAACACGGGAGGUGGUGGUGGGUAUCCGAGACCGAUUGUCAGAUCACCACAGUAUCCGCCAUAUGGUAGUGGUGGUGCGGUGGGGAAGGUGGAGGCGGAGGAUGCAGCGGAGGUUUAUAAAAGAAAUGUGAUUAAUAAGCUUGUGGAGAAUGUUCACGGGGAUAUGUUGCAGUUGAGUAAAACGAGGGAGGCGGAGAUGGAAAGCUGGUUUAGCGCACAAUCUGUGUUGAGGGGGAGAGAGGAGGAGUUUAAUAAAGGGUUGAAAGAAAUGAGAGAUAAGAUGGAAGGGUUGGAGUUGCAUUUGCAAGUUGUUUUGAUGAAUACGGAUGUUUUGGAAGCAUGGGUUAGGGAAAAUAAGGGGAAGUUGAAAGGGGGCUCGGAGGAUAUUGACGUGGAUAAUGCUUUUGAGUGUGUGGAUGUUUUGUCGAAGCAGAUGUUGGAGUGCACAGCGGUGGAUAUGGCAAUUGAGGAUGCGGUUUAUUCUUUGGAGAAAGCAGUGCAAGAAGGGGCAAUGCCAUUUGAUCAAUAUUUGAGGAAUGUGAGGUUGUUGUCUAGAGACCAGUUUUUUAACAGAGCCACUGCAGCGAAAGUUAGGGCUGCACAAAUGCAGGCUCAGGUUGCUGGUAUGGCUGCCAGGGCACCACGUUAUGGUACCUGAGUGAUUGUUUUGAUUGUGAAUUCGAUACGGGGUUGUAGCAUUUAUGGAGAUGCUGGAAGGAUAUCAGUAUAGUGUGAGUGCUAGGUCAACUGAUGUAGUCUUCAGCCGAACCAUGGGGCUUCAAGUUCCACACCCUCCAGUUGAAAUCCAGAUGAUUUUGUUCUUUAGUUCCUCCAUAAUCAUCAAGCUUUCCAUGUCUAUUUGAGGAAUGAAAGCAAUGUCAUAUUUUAAGAUUGCACAGGCCCGUGCGUGUGCACCUUCAUGUGAUCCGUGUCAAACAGGCAGGCAUAGAAAUUCAUUAAUUUUAGGUGGUAUAUAUAGUUGAUUAAAAAGGGGAAAUAAUUGAUGGAAGGGUGGGGAGAAGGUGAGGUUAUAUAUGUAUAUUGUAUUGGUUCGACUUGAUUUUUCAAUGGAUGUGGACUACAAAUAUAUGGGAGCAUGUUGUUUUUGUG